CCCCCUCCGUGGCGCGGGCCGCCCUGCUGUCCGCUCUGGGCUGGGGCGCGGGGAAUGUCCCGGGUCGAGCUCGCUGAGACGCGCUCAGCUCCGCCCGGCUCGGCUGCUGUCUGCACCGCCUGAGGCCCGCCGCUUUCCGAAAUGGCCGAGCAGUCGGACCAGACCGUCAAGUACUACACCCUGGAAGAGAUCCAGAAGCACAACCACAGCAGGAGCACCUGGUUGAUCCUGCACCACAAGGUGUACGAUCUGACCAAGUUUUUGGAGGAGCAUCCUGGUGGGGAAGAAGUAUUAAGGGAACAAGCUGGAGGGGAUGCUACUGAAAAUUUCGAGGACGUGGGGCACUCUACAGAUGCCAGAGAAUUGUCCAAAACAUUCAUUAUUGGGGAACUUCAUCCGGAUGACAGAGCAAAGAUAAACAAGCCUUCGGUAAGUGUGUCAUCUCAAGUGUCUCAGUGGCUGUGUCUGUCUUCACUGUAUUUCAUACCUGUCAAACUGGAGAACAGAAAUCUUUUACCUAUUUGAGGCCAGCAAGGUCCCUCUAGGAAACUCUCAUUACUACUGUUGAUUCUAAUUCCAGCUGGUGGACCAACUGGGUGAUCCCAGCCAUCUCAGCACUGGUGGUAGCCCUGAUGUAUCACUUCUACACAGCGGAAGAUUAAACACAUUCUCAGAAGCCAAUGAAAGAAAAGACUGCUUUGGACCGGGGAGAAAGAAGCCAGUGUUAACUGCUUCAACUGACAGAAACUUUCCCCCCCAAAAUAAUUUUAAUACACCAGUUUCCCUUUCUCCUACUUUGAAUCAAACCAAAAGAGAACUCUUCUGUUCUUUCUACUCCUGAACUCUUAGAAUGUGCCUUUUGUUCAUCAACUUUUUUUGAUGUUCCAUCACUACGUAAUUUACUUAUUAUAGGCGUGAUAUUUUAAAAAUAUAUCCGGCUUUUAAAAUACACCACCCUGUUUGCCCGUCUAUUUAGCAUAUAAUUGUCCUAAACAUUUAGAAUCUGAUUAUUUAGCAGAGUCAUUUAGUUUGCUAAUCAUUCAGACCCAGGUAGUCUAUAUGACGUGAGGAGGGGAAUGUCCUUAGAUCCCUCCUUCAUAUCUCCCUGAGCAAUUCAGUACCUGCCUGCCCCAGCAUAGUUUCCUUUCCCAGAGAAUUAAGAAAAGCUCAGAAAUGAAAGAUUUCUAAUUGUUCUACGUGAAAUAGAUGACAAAAAGAGAAGGUGGCCUGUAGUACCUAUGAAAAAGAUCUCAUCUCUUUUUUGAUUAAAAAAAUAUAGUCAAAAGAAAACCUCACAACUGUGAGAGGACAUUUUAGCUGUCCCUUCUCACAGACUAAAGAUUAACCGAAGAGAUGCUUAAAGUCUAAAAAAAUUCCUCAUUCAGAGGCAAAAACUGUUUAUAUACUCAUUAAGGAAAUGUUGAUUUCCUAUUUUGCAAAAACAAAAUUUGAGAGAGAUAACGGGACAUUUGGAAUCUGAUUUUUGAAGAAAUUUAGCUGGUAAUGAACCAUGAGGAAUUCUAGUAUGACUCUGCUCAUUUUUUCUUUGGAGUUCCAGUAGGCUAAUUCUGUCAUUUUUGUUUGUUAUUCUCUGCCCCAUGCUUUUUUUUCUUCUAAAUGUGGAAACUUAAAGGAUGAAUUAGAUUCUAAGUACUUUGCAGUUAAUGUAUGACUAUGCAAGUUUCCAUUGGCCUUCUAACCACCUGAUAAGCAAUAGAGUUCUUCAGAAAUAACUAAAACACAUUGGAAAGGAAUUUUUAAAUUACAGAGUAUUGUUUAAAAAGAGGCAACAAACUCAAAAUUGAGUCACUUGUGCUAAGCCCAUGUCACCAAACCAAGACUGAUUGCAGUUUCAGUCUCUCCCAAGAGUGGAAUCUUAAGUCAGUCAGUCUCGGAUGAUCUGGUCAGCACUAGUGGAAUAAUCCCCAGGAGACACCCUCCCCAACCCAUGACCCCUCAAAGGAAGGUGAUUUUGCCUGUAACAAUCAGCUCUGCUAAAAUAAUUUCCUUGUCCCGCCUCUUUCUGCCCAUAGAAGUUUUCCAUUUUGUACAGCUCUUUGGAACUUCUUUCUCUUUGCCGGAUAGGAUAUUGCCCGAUCUAUGAAUUGUUGAAUAAAACUGAUAAGAUCUUUAAAUUUUA